UUCCUCAAGAAUCCUCUUUUGAGGAGGCAAUAGAAAGAGCACUGAGUCACACUUUUCAGGCUUAGCUUCCUGGGCGUUACCUGAUCAGCUCUGUUUGCCUACCGGAGAGUCUGGGGCCACAAGAUGAGGGUCAUGGCCUGAGAGCAACUGAGGACUUUCCACAGGCCUCUUGGUGGCAGUUGGGACUUGACCCCAGUGAGACCGAGUCCAGAAUCUGACACCUUGAACUGCAGACAAGCAUCGGCCUCAAGCAGCUGACCUGUCCCAUACAUUCCUUGGCAAGAGUGGCAGUCAAAAGAAUAUAGAAGACCUGGGCCCUCAGGGUGUGGUAAAGGCCACACCCGCAGCCUGCCUUUGCUGGCUACCUGCAAAGCUCUUCUCAUCAGAGCCCUGUCUUGCCUCAUUUCCGAUUCCCGCUUGCCACAAGAGACCACGGAGGCUCAAAGAUGUGGCUAUACACAUUCCUACAGCCCAGAGCUAAGGGACCAAGAUCUGCUCGGGACACUUGCUCCGCUGGCAUCAUUCUCAUUGCCGCUGACUCCAGCCUAGCCAUAUGAAGCCCCGCCGUGGGUGAACACAGCUACGGAACACCCAGCAGGCACCGCACGGCGGACUCUUCCGGAACGGUCACGUAUCAGGGAAGUGCAUGUCCUGGUGCGAUUCUGCUGUUUGACAAAUUAAAAGUUGGAGGAUUAGAGACCCAGA